rnacentral:pre_miRNA from 1 species
UCUUAUACAUGAGCAAAGAAAGUGUUUUCUUGAGAUGGAAUCUACUCUCAAGUGAAGAUGCUAUGAA